GUGUUGUAUGAAAGGAGAGAAGGUUAGCACUUGACUUGACAAGGAUGGAAAAGGCCCUUGGGCCUGACAACAUGCUUACAGUUAAGGUAUUGCCACCUACUUCGUGGCAUCUAACCAUUGUUUUUC
ensembl:snRNA